rnacentral:rRNA from 1 species
GAGACAGCAGCCGCCACGGGAAUACGUAGGUGGCAAGCGUUGUCCGGAAUUAUUGGGCGUAAAGGGCUCGCAGGCGGUUUCUUAAGUCUGAUGUGAAAGCCCCCGGCUCAACCGGGGAGGGUCAUUGGAAACUGGGAAACUUGAGUGCAGAAGAGGAGAGUGGAAUUCCACGUGUAGCGGUGAAAUGCGUAGAGAUGUGGAGGAACACCAGUGGCGAAGGCGACUCUCUGGUCUGUAACUGACGCUGAGGAGCGAAAGCGUGGGGAGCGAACGGGAUUAGAUACCCGCGUAGUCCCUGUCUCUUAUAC